rnacentral:rRNA from 1 species
UACGUAGGGUGCGAGCGUUAAUCGGAAUUACUGGGCGUAAAGCGUGCGCAGGCGGUUUGCUAAGACCGAUGUGAAAUCCCCCGGGCUCAACCUGGGAACUGCAUUGGUGACUGGCAGGCUAGAGUAUGGCAGAGGGGGGGUAGAAUUCCACGUGUAGCAGUGAAAUGCGUAGAGAUGUGGAGGAAUACCGAUGGCGAAGGCAGGUCUCUGGGCCACUACUGACGCUGAGA